UACGGGGGGGGCAAGCGUUGUUCGGAAUUACUGGGCGUAAAGGGCUCGUAGGUGGCCAACUAAGUCAGACGUGAAAUCCCUCGGCUUAACCGGGGAACUGCGUCUGAUACUGGAUGGCUCGAGUUUGGGAGAGGGAUGCGGAAUUCCAGGUGUAGCGGUGAAAUGCGUAGAUAUCUGGAGGAACACCGGUGGCGAAGGCGGCAUCCUGGACCAACACUGACACUGAGGAGCGAAAGCCAGGGGAGCAAACGGG
rnacentral:rRNA from 1 species